rnacentral:rRNA from 1 species
UACGGAGGGUGCAAGCGUUGUCCGGAUUUAUUGGGUUUAAAGGGUGCGUAGGCGGUCUUUUAAGUCAGUGGUGGAAGCCUCCAGCUUAACUGGAGAACUGCCAUUGAUACUGGAAGACUUGAGUACAGACGAGGUAGGCGGAAUUGACAGUGUAGCGGUGAAAUGCAUAGAUAUUGUCAAGAACACCGAUUGCGAAGGCAGCUUACUAGACUGUAACUGACGCUGAGGCACGAAAGUGUGGGGAUCAAACAGG